GCCUGGGUGGCUCAGUUGGUUAAGCGUCUGACUUUGGCUCAGGUCAUAAUCUAGCAGUCAGUGAGUUUGAGUCCCGCAUCAGGCU
rnacentral:tRNA from 1 species